AAAGAUACCCCGGUAGUCCUGGCCGUAAACCAUGAGCACUGGGUAGGGGGCUCGCCGAUGGGUCCCCUGCCGCAGCGAAAGCGUGAAGUGCUCCGCCUGGGGAGUAUGGCCGCAAGGCUGAAACUCGAAGGAAUUGACGGGGGCUCACACAAGCGGUGGAGCAUGUGGCUUAAUUCGAGGCUACGCGAAGAACCUUAUCCCGGGCUUGACAUGCACGGAUUAGCCUCCUGAAAGGGAGGUGACGCCUUCGGGUGGAACGUGCACAGGUGCUGCAUGGCUGUCGUCAGCUCGUGCCGUGAGGUGUUGGGUUAAGUCCCGUAACGAGCGAAACCCCUGCGACCAGUUGCCAUCAUUAAGUUGGGGACUCUGGUCGGACCGCCGGCGUCAAGCCGGAGGAAGGCGGGGACGACGUCAAGUCAUCAUGGCCCUUAUGCCCGGGGCUGCACACGUGCUACAAUGGGCCGGACAGAGCGUCGCCACUGCGCAAGCAGGAGCCAAUCGCAGAAACCCGGCCCCCCGAGUUCGGAUUGUGGGUCG
rnacentral:rRNA from 1 species